rnacentral:rRNA from 1 species
GUGAGGAAUAUUGGUCAAUGGGCGGGAGCCUGAACCAGCCAAGUCGCGUGAAGGAAGAAGGAUCUAUGGUUCGUAAACUUCUUUUGCAGGGGAAUAAAGUGCGGGACGUGUCCUGUUUUGUAUGUACCCUGAGAAUAAGGAUCGGCUAACUCCGUGCCAGCAGCCGCGGUAAUACGGAGGAUCCGAGCGUUAUCCGGAUUUAUUGGGUGUAAAGGGUGCGUAGGUGGUUUGAUAAGUCAGCGGUGAAAGUUUGCAGCUUAACUGUAAAAAUGCCGUUGAAACUGUCGGACUUGAGUGUAAAUGAGGUAGGCGGAAUGCGUGGUGUAGCGGUGAAAUGCAUAGAUAUCACGCAGAACUCCGAUUGCGAAGGCAGCUUACUAAGCUACAACUGACACUGAAGCACGAAAGCGUGGGGAUCAAACAGGAUUAGAAACCUGGGUAGUCC